rnacentral:rRNA from 1 species
CUUGAAUCUUAUAAGAGGUCCAGCCUGCCCAGUGACUCUGUUCAACGGCCGCGGUAUCCUAACCGUGCGAAGGUAGCGUAAUCACUUGUUCUUUAAAUGAGGACUAGUAUGAAUGGCACUACGAGGGUUAUACUGUCUCCUUUUUCUAAUCAGUGAAACUAAUUUUCCCGUGAAGAAGCGGGAAUAUAAUUAUAAGACGAGAAGACCCUAUGGAGCUUUAAACAACCCAGCAAUUACUUUAAAAUUUAUAAAUUUCAGAAUACCCACUUUUUAAGCAAUAUGUCUGCAAGUUUUCGGUUGGGGUGACCAUGGAGAAUAAUAUAACCUCCAUACUGAAUGAAUUAUCUUCUAAGCUAAAAAUUACUAAUUGAAGCAUCAACAUACUGACAUCCAUUGACCCAAUAUACUUGAUCAACGAAC